rnacentral:rRNA from 1 species
UGGGGAAUUUUGGACAAUGGGCGAAAGCCUGAUCCAGCAAUGCCGCGUGUGUGAAGAAGGCCUUCGGGUUGUAAAGCACUUUUGUCCGGAAAGAAAUGGCUCUGGUUAAUACCUGGGGUCGAUGACGAUACCGGAAGAAUAAGGACCGGCUAACUACGUGCCAGCAGCCGCGGUAAUACGUAGGGUCCAAGCGUUAAUCGGAAUUACUGGGCGUAAAGCGUGCGCAGGCGGUUGUGCAAGACCGAUGUGAAAUCCCCGAGCUUAACUUGGGAAUUGCAUUGGUGACUGCAUGGCUAGAGUGUGUCAGAGGGGGGUAGAAUUCCACGUGUAGCAGUGAAAUGCGUAGAGAUGUGGAGGAAUACCGAUGGCGAAGGCAGCCCCCUGGGAUAACACUGACGCUCAUGCACGAAAGCGUGGGGAGCAAACAGG